UUACAUAUGAUCUCCUCCAGCCUCAUCCCUCAGUCAAUGGAUGGAUUCCGACCCCUCUUCCGAAUACUCCAUAGGAGCCAAAUUCCCAACUUCUUCCACCCAAUAAGUUUUUCCAUCUACUUUCGUGACCUUUCGAAGCACUAAUUAAGGUAUUUCUUAUUUAUUGAAAGGUUGUGAUAAUUGAAUUAGAAGGUUCCGCUGUCACGUUCUCUAAUUUAGAGAAAGAAGGAGAAAGUAUGACUUGCAGACAAACUUGUACAUGCACCCUGAUGAUUCUCAAACAUUGGACUUCAGAAGGCGUGAAAAUAAACCUGCUUCCAAACCAAGAGGUUAGCUUCAAACCAAAUUGAGCCUCGACUUAUAUCGUAUUGAAAAUAAGGUACAAGAACGACAUUAAACCCUUAUGGGAGAUGUUCAGUGUUUUUUUUUUUGGAGGGAGGGAGGGAUUUACUUUUCCUCCGUUUGAAAAGCUGUGCUUUACACAUGUGCAAAAGUUAUAGGCAGGAAAUAAUAACUGUGGCUGUAAAUCCAAUGAUUAUACGAUAAUAUAUCUGUGGUACAUGUCAAAAAGAGCUUAGUUAAAUAAAUUGGGACCAACUGACUGCAUAUACACUGUAUUAACCUGUAAAAUUUACCUGUCUGGGACGGUGAAACAAGAGCUAACGAAAAUCUCUGGAUCAAUAUACCCUUUACCAUUCAUCUGCAGGUGACCAUUUAUAAAUAUAUACAGAAAAUUAUGGAAUAAGGCUAAGGAAAUAAAUCAUUAUACCAAUAUUCUUACAGCCUUAGGUUUUUUAUUUAGAUCUUGGGUUUUAAUUAGCUAAGGCUGAGUUUUUGUUGAAAAGCUCAAUGGCAGCACUAGUAUUGAGGGGCACUUUAAACACCAGGGGGGGAGGAGUAUAUCGAAGAUUAGAGGAGACAAUAGAGGGUUGAUCUUAUCUAGCGGUACACGUUAUAUUAUUUUCAAUACAGAAUGACAUUGGUGCUAUAUCCCAAAGGAGGACAAGAUGACAUUUUAUCUCUGAACAAGGAAAGCUGUGACAGUUGGAAAGAGCAAGGAGGAUUCUACAUUUUCUUAGGUCCAAAAAAUAGGGGAAAGUUUUGCUCUUUUAUCACUUCAAAUUUUUUCCGUUGGUAUCACUGUGAAUAAGCAGAACAUCCCCUUAAUCACAACCAAACAUCAGGACAAUGUCUCACCUUCUGUGAGACAUUGUCUUCUGAACAAUAAAUCAAGUAUUCUGCACAGACGAAGUCAUUGUACCACUAAUACCCAGGCAUACGAGCAAGACAAAUUACCGGACUUUUGGGACCUCAACAUGUGGCAACCUUCCUCUCCAGACACGAACUUCUUGGACUACUCUAUCUACGUGCAUCUCGAAGAGAAGGUGUGCGCUACUCCGCAUAGGAGUGUCCAGUUUCUAGAGGCUGCUAUCAAGAAGGAGUGGACCAAGCUUGAGUCUGACUAGAUGAUCAAGGUCUGCAAGGGAUUUAGGCAUCGUAUUGAAACUAUUAUUAGAGAUGAGGGCUCAUAUAUUGAAUAAUAGUUGUUAAAUAAGUAUGCUUACAAAACUUUUCGUCUAAACUUUACUAUUGAAAAUAAUAAAAUGUGUACCAAUAUAUAAUUUUCAAUUUAUUUCUAUGUAUUAAGUUAUGAAAAUAAACCAUUAUAUUAAUAUUCCUGCAUCUUGGGUCCUAAAUAGAUACAGCUUGAAUUAGUGGUCUUGAGGCCACUGUGGACGUCAGAGGGAGCUACAUCGAAGAUCAGAGGAGACUAUAUAGCGUUACUGCUGUUUUGUGCAUAUCUAGUGGCUACGGAAAUAUGUAUAUCUCAUUAAAGUUAAAAGGAUAUUGACUAUUUAUAUUUCGACGUCGUACCCGGUAUUUCAAUUUUUAAUUAAAAGCAUUUAGGUAUAUUCGAUAUAUUUAUUGUUUAAAAAUAUAAUAAUAUUUGAUCAGGUAUAUGUACUAUUUACAAGUAAUUAUAUAAUUUUUAGUUUUAGGUAUAGCAAUCAUUUUUUUUUUAAAUAGUGAAGUGUAGUUUGUCCACUAAACUUUCCUUUAUGAAAUAUAUUUAUGUAUGUUGUAUGUAGUAAAUAUAAUCUGUUUGUCAGAGAGUAAAGCAUUUAUUCAUGUUGAUCAGAGAGCAGCAUUUUCAGAAAAUAAAAAGAGAUAAAGCUUGAACUUGGCUACAUAUUACGCAGGGCCUUCUGCAGGAUUAUAUUUUUUUUCUGAGGGAGGGGUAGAGGGGUUGGCAUAAAAAAAAAAAUUCAAUAAUGAAAAUUUUUGUAGAAAAAUUUAAAAGAAUUAAUUUUCCUGAAAAAAAUUUAAAAGAAUUAAUUUUCAAAAAAAUUUAAAAAAUAAAAAUUUUCUAAUUUAAAAAAAAAAUCCAUAGCUAUUCUCAAAAAUUAAAAUUUAUGAAACAAAAAAAAAUCAGACAAAAUUAUUUUUAAUAGAAAAAAAUUUGAAAUUUUUUUUUUUUUUUGGACCAAAAUUCAUAGUAAAAGAAAUUGAAAUAUCAAAUUUUCUAUAAAAAACAAAAAAUUCCUUAAUUUGAGGGGGGGGGGGGGUACGGCCCUUCUAGCCAACCCCCUGCGGACGCCAUUUCUACGUCAAUAGACAAUUUAUUUAUACAAACUUUGCCUAUAUUGUAAUCUUCAAACCUCAAAUUAUAUCCCUGUCAAAAUGAAGGGAUUUUGUGAUUUAAAAUGUGUCUUGUUU
rnacentral:lncRNA from 1 species